rnacentral:tRNA from 2 species
GGAGAGAUGGCAGAGUGGUCGAUUGCAUCGGUCUUGAAAACCGACGUACUGAGAGGUACCGGGGGUUCGAAUCCCUCUCUCUCCGCCA